UACGGAGGGUGCGAGCGUUGUCCGGAAUCACUGGGCGUAAAGGGCGCGUAGGCGGCCUGAUAAGUAGGGGGUGAAAUCCUGCGGCUUAACCGCAGGGCUGCCUUCUAAACUGUCAGGCUUGAGCACAGUAGAGGCAGGUGGAAUUCCCGGUGUAGCGGUGGAAUGCGUAGAGAUCGGGAAGAACAUCAGUGGCGAAGGCGGCCUGCUGGGCUGUUGCUGACGCUGAGGCGCGACAGCGUGGGGAGC
rnacentral:rRNA from 1 species